UUUUUUUUUCUUGAGUAAUUUUUUCCCCUAGUUGGAGGAGCUAGCUGAUCGGUGCUGGCCACGAAAGGCAGCUCUUGUAGUUCCUCCUCCUGCCAUCUGGUGGUGCUGUUCUUUCAGUUAUCUUGGUCGCGCUAGUCCAAUAUUUAUUUUCAAGUCUAACAGCCGCAGGGCAGUGAACAGAGGCUACGUCCCCAGUUUGCUCAGGCUGCAUCAGGAUUGGCACAGCCACGACAUGGCCAAUUCCUUCAUUCUGAUCCGCUGGGCACUUCUGCUCUGCCUCAAGCGUAUUGCCAAGCUCCGGUCGGGCAGGGAGGCCUUCCUGGCAGCUCAGGGCAUGGAGAUCCUUUUCAGCACCAUACAGAACUGCCUGGAUGACCAAAGUCUGGAGCCUGUCAUCUCCAUUGUUCUUCAGAUCCUGAGACAAUGCUACCCUAAGAGUCCACUUCCCUUGGUCACAACCAGCAGCGCUUAUUCUUUUCCAGUUCCUGGGAUCAUCACCUCUGAAACUCCAUGUGUUCUAACUGAAGGUAAAUAUGUGGAUAUACAGAUCUUCCUGUGGCUCAAUGCUAAAGAGUCCACCUGCCAAUGCAGGAGAUGCAGGUAUGAUCCCUGGGUUGGGAAGAUCCCCUGGAGGA